rnacentral:lncRNA from 13 species
GUUAAUAUUUCCUUUUUUGUAGAUGAGGAAGCAUAGUGAGAUCCAGUUACCUCCCUCAGACUGAUUAGCGGGGAAACCAGAAUUUUAACCCAGCUACGGCUAGCUCCGAAACCUGAGCUCCUCCUGCCACGUUCAGCUGUCCCCCCAGAGGAUUCACUGAACUCACGUGCAGCUGGAAAUGCUUCCUGUGUCCCAGAAUCUCCCCCUGCUCCCACCACUCCAUCAUAUUUUACAGCAUGAAGGAAAUGACUUGGUUGAAAGUAUAAAGUGUAAGCCCGGAGUGACCUCACCAGUCUCCUGAGAUAUGGCCUUGUACCAUUUGAGAAAAGAAAGUUUAGAGGACUGGUCUCCUGUAUGCCUUUUCCAAGGAGAGCCACCCGGAGAAGACAGGGGAUGAAUUACCUACAGGUUCUUAUGUCCUUGACCAAGGGGAGCCCUUUGGAGAGACAAGGUUUCACCAUAUUGUCCAGGCAGAUCCUGAACUCCUGGGCUAAAGCAGUCCCCUGCCUCAGCCACUCAAAAUGCUGGAAUUACAGAUGUGAGCCACUGUGCCUGAUCCCAAAAAGAACAAGAGCUGCUCUUAGCCAGAAAAGUGCCAGAUGGUACUGAGGAAUCAGACUCAUACUAUUCCAGAGCAAUGUCAUCUGCAGAAGAGAGCCAGUAGCUAAUUGACAGAGACGACGCCCUUGUUGUUUUUAUGGAAGUCAAGAUGUCCUGUGUCUAUCACUAGACCUGUUCUUCUAUAAUUGGCUUGGGUCUCAAGCUCUCUUUGGAACGUGAUUCUAGGUAUGAUCUUGCCUCUUCAAUUCUAUCUUCAGACGUAACGCUGCAGUACCUUCUUCUUCAAAUGGCUUCUCUUUACUUCUCCAGCUUUGAGAAAUCCAUCCUCCUCUCCCUCAGAGUUAACUUAGCUUUUCUCAUCUGCAUCAAUCUUUGAAUAACUAUCAUUUGUUAUCAAGAAUGCCUUUUAAAAAAGGUAUCUAUUUUCUAUCUUCCCAACCAGCUAAUAAGAUAUUUCCAGACAACUAAAUAUUUUGCCUCUUUCUCUCCACUUUGGGGCUUCCAGAGUGGUUUUCCCUUAGUGAGUGUCUAAUUAAUAUUUGUUGGUGAAGCGAUUGCUGCCCUGAGACUUGCUGCAUUCUGAUCAGAAAGUUCAGAAGAACAGUCCUAUAGGGCAUGAUAAAAUCAGGAAUUAAAUACUGAAGUUUAGGCUAAACCAAGAUACCAUAAGGUAUCUUGGAGUAGAUUUCCCCAGAAAAUUGUUAGUUACUCAAUGAUUCACAGUUACAGAAUGAGUCACAGAAAAUAUGGCCAGGAAAUUCUUUUUUACAUGUCAUUCUAAAGUUAGCUUGUAAGUGUGGCC